GGAGUGGAAAAUACACUCACUAUUUGCUUAUGCAGGAAAUAGUACUUCUGGGUUUUAAAGUAAAAUCAGUAAGUGAUUUCCAUAAUUAAUAUUUUCAAUUCUUAGGUAACUGGACUUUUACAACAUCCUUAAUAUUUAACCAAAGCAAACUAAAAGGGAGAAAUGGAAGAGAGAUUAUUCACUAACAAGAUUCAUCGCAUCCAUUCUGAAAGCUGUAGGCCCAGCCAUGGAGACAGGAGCCUAACAUAGCUGUCUUUAGAGUGGCUCUACCAGCAGCUGACUGGGACAGAAGCACAUACUCACAGCCAAGCAUUGGACAGAGGUGGAAGAGUUGGGGGAAGGAUUGAAGGAACUGAAGGGGAUGGCAAUCCCAUAGGAAGACCAACAGGGUCCACUAACCUGGACCCCUGGGAAGUCCCAAAGACUGAGCUACUACAAACCAAUGAGCAUACAUAGUUUGGUCUGAGCCCUGGCAACUCCCUACCCACCCCAGCACAUAUGUAAGAGAGGGCUGCCUUGUCUGCUCUCACUGGAAGAGAAUGAAUCUAAUCUUGUAGACACUUGAUGCCCCAGGGUGACGGGAUACCUGGGGGUGGGAGGGGCAACCUUUCAGAGGCAAAGGGAAGAAAGGAUGGGGGAAGAACCAGGGAGGAGGCAACAUUUCUGAUGUAAACAAAUAAAAUAAUUAAUAAAAUAAA